rnacentral:rRNA from 1 species
ACGGAAGUCGUUGUAAUGAUAUAGACAUGGACUGAGAACUUGUUCAAAGAAAGUGAAAGUUGACUUACAACAAUGGCUUUAGUGGCGGACUGGUGAGUAACACGUAAGCAACCUGCCUAUCAGAGGGGAACAACAGUUAGAAAUGACUGCUAAUACCGCAUAUGCCUAAGUAUCACAUGAUACAAUAGGGAAAGGAGCAAUCUGCUGAUAGAUGGGCUUGCGUCUGAUUAGAUAGUUGGUGGGGCAACGGCCUACCAAGUCGACGAUCAGUAGCCGGACUGAGAGGUUGAACGGCCACAUUGGGACUGAGAUACGGCCCAGACUCCUACGGGAGGCAGCAGUCGGGAAUAUUGCGCAAUGGAGGAAACUCUGACGCAGUGACGCCGCGUGCAGGAAGAAGGUUUUCGGAUUGUAAACUGCUUUAGACAGGGAAGAAUAAAGACAGUACCUGUAGAAUAAGCUCCGGCUAACUACGUGCCAGCAGCCGCGGUAAUACGUAGGGAGCAAGCGUUAUCCGGAUUUAUUGGGUGUAAAGGGUGCGUAGACGGGAAAUUAAGUUAGUUGUGAAAUCCCUCGGCUUAACUGAGGAACUGCAACUAAAACUGGUUUUCUUGAGUGCUGGAGAGGAAAGUGGAAUUCCUAGUGUAGCGGUGAAAUGCGUAGAUAUUAGGAGGAACACC